UUUUGUUUUCAUUUUGAUUGCGGGCAAUGCGAUCGGUAGAGUCAGUGUUUGCUGCGUAGUAAUUUUUUAAAUGUUUUUUAGACUACAAUAGCUCAGAUUAAAUUACAUAAUCAUUAAUUAUUAUAACAAUAUACGCGAAAUUAGAAUCAGUGUUUGUUCGCCGAUUAUUUAAGCGGACGCGUUAAUAUUUUUUUUUUUGUAUUUUUGUUUAAAUUCGUUUACUGUAUUAAAGUCAGUGUUUUGCGCAAGAGGAUAUAACCUAUCGAGGAUUGAAAUAAUAUGUUGCUCACAACUUCUACUUCAUUCUAUAUUCUAGAGAGGAACCAAGGAUAUUCUAAAAUCAAAAAUCUUUCACUUCUACCUCUCCUCUUGACAUAAUCUAACUGUGAUUCAAGAGCCACAG